rnacentral:sRNA from 1 species
AAUGCAUUUCUCACUCCAAAAAUUGAAUUUCCUUAGAGAGCUUUAAUGAUAAGGUUGAAGAUAGUUGAAAUCGUAUUAAAAAUAAGUAUGUUAGAAGUGGUCUUAAUGUACAACUGAUGCCUUGAAGAUUGUUUUAUUUUGAUAAAUUAAUGUUUUGUAGCAAUAUACGGGUGUUUACUGAUGGUUUUUCAACUUGGAAACAUUGAGCGCAUGCUUGCUCAAGUAACAUUUUUAACUUUGAUGUGUAUAAUUAUAAGAACAAAAAGAUAUGUAAAAAUUGAACUUGAGCAGUCCCGUGCUCUUUACUAUCAAAGGCAAAGUAUGAAGGAAAAAUGACAAUACUUUCAGUUUUUUUUUUUAUUUAUUUUUUUUGGCGAAAUUGCGAGAAUUUGCCCAUUUUUGUGAUGUCAUAGAAAAACAGCUAUUAGACAAUGAUGACUAAUAUCAAGAUUAAUGUGAUAGGCAUCCUCUGUAAAAUGUUUUAUGAAGGUUUGAUUUUGAUACAAAACUAUUUUAUAAUUGGGGAAGAUAUUUGACAAUACCAAAUAUAGCACUUUGGGUAUUUCCCUAUAUCUUUAUAUAGAACUUUUCUUGUAAAUGAGAUCAAUACAGUCUAAAAAUGGACAUGGCCAUCAAGUUCUCUUAAAAUGU